rnacentral:lncRNA from 1 species
UUAAAAAAUAAACCUGUUUCCUAUACAAUACAAGGUGCCUGGGAAUGGGCCUGGGAAUUGUUUACAUGUAAUUAAAAAAAAUUGCCUCUGGUCAAUAAGUAUGGGAAUUGUUGGUUUAAACAAAUUCAGUCAACUAUUUUUUCUCUGUGACUUUACAGAGCCAUUAAUAUUCUAAAUGUAUCAUGCAACAUUUGUCCAACUUCCUUCAACAUGGUCUCCUUUUACUUCUUUAUUAUUAUUGCUAUUACUGUAGAGCACCUAUAAACAUCUGGAGCAUUAAUGUUCUGUUGAACACAGAUUGGGAAGCUAAGUACUGGAAAACACAGCAAAGGAGUCAGUAGAGAUAUUCGCCAGGAAAGAGGAAAGAGUUAUUUCAUGGAAAGCCUUUAGCUUUUUUCUGUGAAAACUAAGGACAAUUAAAUGUAGGCAUGAGGUCCUUUCAAGGCAGCAAGAAGUAUCACAUAGAUGACUCAGCGUCAUGCACAGGUGCUGGUUGGAUUCAGUUCUUGGACCUGGGAUCAUAGCCUAUUCAGAUUAUCAGUGAGAUGUUAAAGAAUUCCUGUCCAGGAUCAAAAACAAAGCAGGCAUUCUCUCUUUUUUACGGAUAUUGUCAUAAAGAGCUCUGUAUUUUAGGAAGGCCACCCGGUGAGAGUGUAGAGCUGAGAUGAAGGGAGGCAGGAGCCAUGUAUUAUAGAACUUAUAUUGAGAAGAUAUUGGAACUCAAGGAAAAGGUGGGUGAAGGAAAUAUGAUUGGGAUUUGAUAUUUACAUGGACAUAGGUAUGAAGGAAAAGAUUGUCAAAAUUUGGAGCCUACAAAUUUGAUUGUAAUAAAAGUCAGUUCUUUGAGUGAUAAAAACAAUA